GAACAUCCUCCUUCAUUUCCUGCUGUUGGGAUAAGGUAUCCUGACAGCAGCAACUCAGGGGAGAGAAGGCUGGUUUGAGCUCACAGUUCCCAGUUACGGUUCUUCGUUAUGGAGAAGUCACAGCAGCAAGACUCAGAGAGAACUGAUCACACCACGUUACAGUCGCGAGCGGAGAGUUGUGAGUUAAUGCACGCAGGCUAGUGUUGGGCUUGCUCUCCCUUUCAUCCAGUUCAGGGCCCAAUUUAUGAAACAGCGCUGGCCACAUUCAAGGUGGGUCUUCCCUCCUCAACUGACCCAACUAAGGAAAUCCUCCAGGCCAGCAUAAUCCAGACAAUUCCCCGCCGACACUCCCACCACAGUGAAAAAAAAAAAAACAAGGAUAAAUGUUCCCGUGGCCCCAGAGAGCUGAGCAUAUCUGGAAUGCGAUCUAAUGAAUUUUUGACGAAAGGAGGGAAGGAGCCAGAAUUGUGAAGACCGUCUCGAAAGGCUUCUGGCGCUCAGCCUUGGUUUGGAACUCUCCUCCAAACGGUAUUAUUUAUCCAAAUGACUUGCUAAGCUCUUACCCAGAUGGUCACAUCUCGCAAGAUGGAAAGCAAAAGCCCACCAGAACCUUGUUGUUUGAAGCUCUUUAAACCACUUCUCCUGUUACUGCUGACUGACGAGUGACAGAGGUUGAGACUUUACAGCACCAGCCUAUGUUUGCCUGAGGAGGAGAUUUGUCUGCGUGGGGCCAGUGGCGAACAGACCUAACAGUAGCUAACCUGCUUGGGACAAGGGCUUAGACUCCCAACUCUGCCACUUCCAAGUUAUGUGACAUUAGUUAAGCUUGCUCUGUGCCUCAGUGUUUUCAUCAGUAAAAUGGGGAGAAUAAUGGCACCGGCCUUGCCGUGCUUUUAUAAAGACUGGAAAUACAGUGAAAACACUUCUCACUGCCUAGCCAGCCUCCCGAGACGUGCCGACUGCUGUCACGCACGUGAAUCAAUAUUUCUGUCCACGAGAAAGCUUGCGUAUAACUGUCAUCCCUGGAGACCGUACUGCCUGGUGACUUGUCUGUGGAAGUGUGUUCCCCUGAGGAUGAAACCGUCAAAGACCUUUUCCUCAGGAUGCGUCCCUGCUGUUAAGCGACACAUGACUCCGCCACAAGGUCCACCUAGGUCUCUGCUCAUCUUUGCUCUGUAAUUCAUUAGGAGAUGGGCUCCUUGCCAUAGCAAUUCUUUGUGCACUCUUGGGGCCAGCAGUAUGGAGCGGAAACCAUGAAUGAGCCACCUACUAAUGGCCAGAACGGUCACAACGUCUGUGAACCAGUCUCCUGGGAAUCUCCGCCAUGCGUGUUGUGAGCAAACGCGGAGGGCUUACAUUAUAUUCUAAAUCCAUUUGUAAUUAUAAGUGAGAAUGACCGGGGCAAUCUGUUUUGUUUCUCUGUGAUUUUUCUAGACCCAGAGCAUGAUAGUUUGUAGAAGCUCAGCCCAGGGAGUGGCACUAUUAGAAGGUGUGGCCCUGUUGGAGUGGGUGUGUCACUGUGGGCGUGGGCAAAAAGACCCUCACCCUAGCUUCCUGGAAGUCAGACUUCCACUAGGAGCCUUCAGAUGAAGAUGUAGAACUCCCAGCUUCUCUUACACCAUGCCUGUCUGGAUGCUGCCGUGCUCCUGCCUUGAUGAUGAUGGACUGAACCUCUGAACCUGUAAUCCAGCCCCAACUGAAUGUUGUCUUUAUAAGACUUGCAUUGGUUAUGGUGUCUGUUCACAGCAAUAAGACCAUAACUAAGAUACCAGAGAUACAGAUCACCAUGGGGAGCUGGAAAAAGAGCCAACAAAUAGGUCCCUGGUCCCAAGAUGAAACUUAUACUGCAUCCUAAGUUCUGACUGCCACAAGAGUCAGGUGACCUGGAAUCAAUCACAUUAAGAGUCUGUGAUGACUUCCCCUAAUCAGCAGACACCAGCAACAUCAUCAAACCUACAAGGAAGCACACAAAACAUACCAGCCCAGAGGUUGUUUGUUGGAGCCCAGAGGGUGCAGAAGCAGGCUGUACCUCAUCCGGCAUCCUUCCUUCAGCGAGGACAAAUCAACAACUGAACCCAAGCCCCCUGAACCCAAACAGAACUACUCCAUCAACAGAAUGGCAACCAUCAGAAUCAGGGGCUUACAGAGCGUAACAGCUGCCCACUGCGCGCUCUUCCAAAGCCAGUGAUCACGCCACUCAUCUGGCAAACGCUGCCUUCCUGCAGAUUCUCCCACCGUUUAGUAGCUUGUACAAAAGCAAUCUGGAACGGACCUCAUAAAUAAUUCUACCUUCCUCCACUUUCCACUGCUCUCAUUUUGCUACACCAGAAGGCUACAGAGGAUGAAUUAGGGCGUGGCUGUAGAUUAAAGACUAAAACCUGCUGGGUCGCUGCAGGGGCAGGGGUCAAUCUUUUGUUUCUUUGUUUGCUGUUCUGGGAUCACACUCAGUGCCUCCCACAUUCUAG
ensembl:lncRNA